UGGGGAAUAUUGCACAAUGGGCGAAAGCCUGAUGCAGCAACGCCGCGUGAGUGAUGAAGGCCUUCGGGUUGUAAAGCUCUGUCUUUUGGGACGAUAAUGACGGUACCAAAGGAGGAAGCCACGGCUAACUACGUGCCAGCAGCCGCGGUAAUACGUAGGUGGCAAGCGUUGUCCGGAUUUACUGGGCGUAAAGGAUGCGUAGGCGGAUUUUUAAGUGAGAUGUGAAAUACCCGGGCUUAACUUGGGUGCUGCAUUUCAAACUGGAAGUCAUAGAGUGCGGGAGAGGAGAAUGGAAUUCCUAGUGUAGCGGUGAAAUGCGUAGAGAUUAGGAAGAACACCAGUGGCGAAGGCGAUUCUCUGGACCGUAACUGACGCUGAGGCAUGAAAGCGUGGGUAGCAAACAGGAUUAGAUACCCUGGUAGUCCACGCCGUAAACGAUGAGUACUAGGUGUAGGAGGUAUCGACCCCUUCUGUGCCGCAGUUAACACAAUAAGUACUCCGCCUGGGAAGUACGAUCGCAAGAUUAAAACUCAAAGGAAUUGACGGGGUC
rnacentral:rRNA from 1 species